ensembl:lncRNA
CGUUAGCCUAACGGCAGAAAAAGUUAAAGGUGAACUAUACCUAAAACAUUUUUUUGAAAAUAAUGUUAGGGCUGCGGUUAAGGUUAGGCCUAGGUGGGUCCGGUUAAGGUUAGGCAUAGGUGGGUAAGGUUAUGGUCAGGAUUGAGCCGCGGUAAGGGCUAUAUCUAAGUGGGUCAGGUUAUGGUUAGGCAUAGGUAGGUCUGGUUAUGGUUAGGGUUGAGCUAAGGUUGAGGUUAGGUCUAGAGGUCAGGUUAUGGUUUGGGCCGGACCGUUGUUGGGGUCAAUACGGUAAGGAUUCUGGUAUUCAACUGGGCGUAUGGGUAUGGCGUCCAAGGUAAGGAUCCAAUAUCGUUCCCGCUUACGUCGUUGUUGCAGAGUCCAGGUGAAGUUGCGUUGAAGGCCCGCAACUCUCAUGGAGUCCAAACCAUGCAACAAGAAGUGUUGCACCAAAGCAAGAGCAACCAACAAGGAGUUUCACUGUCAUCCAAGGAGGGCAAGCUGGCACGGACAAGGAUAUCCCUCAGAUUUUUAUUCCUCCUGUGGGCUAAAAUAACUUUGAACCCAUCAAA